rnacentral:rRNA from 1 species
CAAUAGCGUAUAUUAAAGUUGUUGCAGUUAAAAAGCUCGUAGUUGGAUUUCUGGGAGGGUGCCAAUGUCCGCCGACGUGCGUGCGCAGCGGCGCCCUCUCAUCCUUCUGUUAACGUCUCUCAGCAUUUAUUUGCCGGUGGCGGGCUCAGAUAUUUUACCUUGAGAAAAUUAGAGUGUUUCAGGCAGGCUAGGCCGGAAUACAUUAGCAUGGAAUAAUGGAAUAGGACUUCGGUCUCUUUGUUGGUUUGAGGGACUGCAGUAAUGAUUAAUAGGGAUAGUUGGGGGCAUUAGUAUUUAAUUGUCAGAGGUGGAAUUCUCGGAUUUGUUAAAGACUAACUUAUGCGAAAGCAUUUGCCAAGGAUGUUUUCAUUAAUCAAGAACGAAAGUUAGGGGAUCAAAGACGAUUAGAUACCGU